rnacentral:rRNA from 1 species
UUAGAUGCGAGAGUAGAGCAUAUCAAUAAGCGGAGGAAAAGAAACUAACAAGGAUUCCCUUAGUAACGGCGAGUGAAGCGGGAAGAGCUCAAAUUUGAAAUCUUCAAGGUUCUACCUUGACGAAUUGUAGUUUAAAGAAGUGUUUUCUGUUAGAUGAGUAGCAAAAGUUCCUUGGAAUGGGACAUCAUAGAGGGUGAGAAUCCCGUAUUUGGUUAUUCAUUCUAGCUUUGUGAUACACUUUCAAAGAGUCGGAUUGUUUGGGAAUGCAGUCCAAAAUGGGUGGUAAAUUUCAUCUAAAGCUAAAUAUUGGCGAGAGACCGAUAGCGAACAAGUACCGUGAGGGAAAGAUGAAAAGAACUUUGAAAAGAGAGUUAAACAGUACGUGAAAUUGUCAAAAGGGAAGCGUUUGACACCAGUGUUGUUUUCUCGAAAAUCAAUUAAGAAAGGCUUGAUUUUGUGUUGUAUUGACCUUAUCAGCUUUCUGCACUUUUUUCGAGUCUUUCUUAAUGCACUUUUCGGUUAACAAGUCAACAUCAAUUUCUUUUGUUGUAAAAGAGUAUUCGGAAGGUGGCUUUCUUUUCGGAGAAAGUGUUUAUAGCCCUAUACUUCUACAAUCGGAGAGAUUGAGGUCUGCAGCGUAGAUCCUUCGGGGUUAGAUACACUUGUGCUAAGUUGUAGCUUUUCAUAGACAACUUGUUGACUAUGUUUAGUCAUGCGGCUUACUCGCUUGUGCUAUUUUACCUACGCUUAGGAUGUUGAGCGCAUGUCUCUCUCU